UACAGAGGGGGCGAGCGUUGUUCGGAAUUACUGGGCGUAAAGGGCGCGUAGGCGGCCUGCUAAGUCGAACGUGAAAUCCCCGAGCUCAACUCGGGAACUGCGUCCGAUACUGGCAGGCUUGAAUCCGGGAGAGGGAUGCGGAAUUCCAGGUGUAGCGGUGAAAUGCGUAGAGAUCCGGAGGAACCCCAGAGGCGAAGGCGGCGUCCUGGCUCGCAUCUGACGCUCAGACACGACAGCAUGGGGAGCGAACGGG
rnacentral:rRNA from 1 species